GGUUAAGUUAGAAAGGGCGCACGGUGGAUGCCUUGGCACUAGGAGCCGAUGAAGGACGGGACGAACACCGAUAUGCUUCGGGGAGCUGUAAGCAAGCUUUGAUCCGGAGAUUUCCGAAUGGGGAAACCCACUGCUCGUAAUGGAGCAGUAUCCAUAUCUGAAUUCAUAGGAUAUGAGAAGGCAGACCCGGGGAACUGAAACAUCUAAGUACCCGGAGGAAGAGAAAGCAAAUGCGAUUCCCUGAGUAGCGGCGAGCGAAACGGGAACAGCCCAAACCAAGAGGCUUGCCUCUUGGGGUUGUAGGACACUCUGUACGGAGUUGCAAAAGAACGAGGUAGAUGAAGAGGUCUGGAAAGGCCCGCCAUAGGAGGUAACAGCCCUGUAGUCAAAACUUCGUUCUCUCCUGAGUGGAUCCUGAGUACGGCGGAACACGUGAAAUUCCGUCGGAAUCCGGGAGGACCAUCUCCCAAGGCUAAAUACUCCCUAGUGACCGAUAGUGAACCAGUACCGUGAGGGAAAGGUGAAAAGCACCCCGGAAGGGGAGUGAAAGAGAUCCUGAAACCGUGUGCCUACAAGUAGUCAGAGCCCGUUAACGGGUGAUGGCGUGCCUUUUGUAGAAUGAACCGGCGAGUUACGAUCCCGUGCAAGGUUAAGUUUGAAAAGACGGAGCCGCAGCGAAAGCGAGUCUGAAUAGGGCGCAUGAGUACGUGGUCGUAGACCCGAAACCAGGUGAUCUACCCAUGUCCAGGGUGAAGUUCAGGUAACACUGAAUGGAGGCCCGAACCCACGCACGUUGAAAAGUGCGGGGAUGAGGUGUGGGUAGGGGUGAAAUGCCAAUCGAACCUGGAGAUAGCUGGUUCUCUCCGAAAUAGCUUUAGGGCUAGCCUCAAGGUAAGAGUCUUGGAGGUAGAGCACUGAUUGGACUAGGGGCCCCUACCGGGUUACCGAAUUCAGUCAAACUCCGAAUGCCAAAGACUUAUCCUUGGGAGUCAGACUGCGAGUGAUAAGAUCCGUAGUCGAAAGGGAAACAGCCCAGACCGCCAGCUAAGGUCCCAAAGUAUACGUUAAGUGGAAAAGGAUGUGGAGUUGCUUAGACAACCAGGAUGUUGGCUUAGAAGCAGCCACCAUUUAAAGAGUGCGUAAUAGCUCACUGGUCGAGUGACUCUGCGCCGAAAAUGUACCGGGGCUAAACGUAUCACCGAAGCUGCGGACUGUUCUUGCGAACAGUGGUAGGAGAGCGUUCUAAGGGCUGUGAAGCGAGACCGGAAGGACUCGUGGAGCGCUUAGAAGUGAGAAUGCCGGUAUGAGUAGCGAAAGAGGGGUGAGAAUCCCCUCCACCGAAUGCCUAAGGUUUCCUGAGGAAGGCUCGUCCGCUCAGGGUUAGUCGGGACCUAAGCCGAGGCCGAAAGGCGUAGGCGAUGGACAACAGGUUGAUAUUCCUGUACCACCUCCUCACCAUUUGAGCAAUGGGGGGACGCAGGAGGAUAGGG
rnacentral:rRNA from 1 species